UGGAAAUUCCUGCCUCUGAUGACCU
rnacentral:piRNA from 1 species